rnacentral:rRNA from 1 species
CGGUAGCACAGAGAGCUUGCUCUCGGGUGACGAGCGGCGGACGGGUGAGUAAUGUCUGGGAAACUGCCUGAUGGAGGGGGAUAACUACUGGAAACGGUAGCUAAUACCGCAUAACGUCGCAAGACCAAAGUGGGGGACCUUCGGGCCUCAUGCCAUCAGAUGUGCCCAGAUGGGAUUAGCUAGUAGGUGGGGUAAUGGCUCACCUAGGCGACGAUCCCUAGCUGGUCUGAGAGGAUGACCAGCCACACUGGAACUGAGACACGGUCCAGACUCCUACGGGAGGCAGCAGUGGGGAAUAUUGCACAAUGGGCGCAAGCCUGAUGCAGCCAUGCCGCGUGUAUGAAGAAGGCCUUCGGGUUGUAAAGUACUUUCAGCGAGGAGGAAGGCGUUAAGGUUAAUAACCUUGGCGAUUGACGUUACUCGCAGAAGAAGCACCGGCUAACUCCGUGCCAGCAGCCGCGGUAAUACGGAGGGUGCAAGCGUUAAUCGGAAUUACUGGGCGUAAAGCGCACGCAGGCGGUCUGUCAAGUCGGAUGUGAAAUCCCCGGGCUCAACCUGGGAACUGCAUUCGAAACUGGCAGGCUAGAGUCUUGUAGCGAUAGGGGGGUAGAAUUCCAGGUGUAGCGGUGAAAUGCGUAGAGAUCUGGAGGAAUACCGGUGGCGAAGGCGGCCCCCUGGACAAAGACUGACGCUCAGGUGCGAAAGCGUGGGGGAGCAAACAGGAUUAGAUACCCUGGUAGUCCACGCCGUAAACGAUGUCGACUUGGAGGUUGUGCCCUUGAGGCGUGGCUUUCCGGAGCUAACGCGUUAAGUCGACCGCCUGGGGAGUACGGCCGCAAGGUUAAAACUCAAAUGAAUUGACGGGGGCCCGCACAAGCGGUGGAGCAUGUGGUUUAAUUCGAUGCAACGCGAAGAACCUUACCUACUCUUGACAUCCAGAGAACUUAGCAGAGAUGCUUUGGUGCCUUCGGGAACUCUGAGACAGGUGCUGCAUGGCUGUCGUCAGCUCGUGUUGUGAAAUGUUGGGUUAAGUCCCGCAACGAGCGCAACCCUUAUCCUUUGUUGCCAGCGGUCCGGCCGGGAACUCAAAGGAGACUGCCAGUGAUAAACUGGAGGAAGGUGGGGAUGACGUCAAGUCAUCAUGGCCCUUACGAGUAGGGCUACACACGUGCUACAAUGGCAUAUACAAAGAGAAGCGACCUCGCGAGAGCAAGCGGACC